UCCGAGUUGACCCCGGCAGUCUCCUACGAGUCCCCGCCAUUACGCGCUGGCAACAUAGGAUAAGGGUUGCGCUCGUUGCGGGACUUAACCCAACAUCUCACGACACGAGCUGACGACAACCAUGCACCACCUGUACACCGACCUUGCGGGGAGCACAUCUCUGCACUUUUCCGGUGCAUGUCAAGCCUGGGUAAGGUUCUUCGCGUUGCAUCGAAUUAAUCCGCAUGCUCCGCCGCUUGUGCGGGCCCCCGUCAAUUCCUUUGAGUUUUAGCCUUGCGGCCGUACUCCCCAGGCGGGGCGCUUAAUGCGUUAGCUGCGGCACGGAACCCAUGGAAUAGGCCCCACACCUAGCGCCCAACGUUUACGGUGUGGACUAC
rnacentral:misc_RNA from 1 species